rnacentral:lncRNA from 1 species
GGUAUCAGCUAGCUGCGGAAACUCCUUCACUGGGCUCGCAGCCGGGCCCUGGAGGGCACUUCCACCAGAGCACCGGGUGCCACCUGCUGCCACCAUCCCCUGGCCCAAGGGACUUCCUGCCCCGCCCUGACUCCAGAGAAAACCCGGGAGGGAUUUCCUAGAACGCUGAGCCGUCCCUGUGCCCUGAGACGAGGCUGCUGCCCCCCCCCCACCGGAGGACGCAGAUCAGGUUCCGAGGCUGAGCCUGGCUGCCUAAGUGGUGCCGGCCUGGGCACCGGGGCUCCCCGACCUGCCCCAGUGGCUGGGGGUGACCACGGGCUCCAUGCCCAGGACACAGAGCCGGCUCACGGAGGGUCAUGGGUGUUGUUAGAAUGUAGACACGUGACAGGGGUUGUCUCUCCCAGUGCCUCCACGGGUGCCGUCUCGCGCGGUCUCCCCGGCAGUCCCUGGGCUUGGAGAGGGGAGACAGGUGCCGCCGUCCACCUGCUCAGGGCCCAGGGCCCCCGGAGCCUCGCCUGCCUGAGGCUCUAACUGACCCCCGCUCUGUCCCCUUUCCAUUCCCCUCAGCCACAACAGAGGCUCCCUAAGGCCCGGACGACUCGUGGCUGGCAGGAGAGACUGCCCAGGGCCCCUGAAGGGUGGGCGAGCCGGGGAGGGGCUGGGCACAGCCUCGCGCGGAGCCCACCUGCCCUGGAGACAGGGGACAAGGCUCGCACCCGGGGGCCAGGGCGGGCCACCUGGGACACAGCAGACUCCCUGCAUCCGCGCGAGAAAGAACUUGGGAGCGUGAGCUCCAGCCCCUGAGCAACACGCGGAGGCCCAGGAUGGCCGCGGGGGCCCCCCGAGAGCUCAGCUCAGACCCUGUGGGUCCACUGGGAGCCAAGGGCAGACGAGUGCCUCCCAGGGCAGGGCCUUCCUUGGCAAGCACUGGGAAGCUCAGGAAGUCCCCGCAGAGCGGGGAGGCAGGCGGCCAGCCCAGGCAGAGGGGCAGGUGGCUCAGUCAGUGCCGCCCGGCUCCCUGCCCGCCCACCAGCGGCUUGGGAGCCCCCGCCCUGGUGACCUGCACCUCUCAGAGCCUGCUCCUCCCUCUUAAUUAGUUCAGCCUGCGUGCUGCUUAGUGACACGCUGGGGACCCCAACAGCCUGCAGGAGACUUCCAAAAACACACGCUCCGGGAAGCAAAGCCCCCCUCACCCCCCAUCCCCAGUGCUGCCCUGUCAGCCUCCGAUCUGUCCCUGUCCCCCCAGGGCAUCCACCCUCCCCCUGCACCUUGCCCUGGACCACAAGUGGCC